UGGGGAAUCUUGCGCAAUGGGCGAAAGCCUGACGCAGCAACGCCGCGUGGGGGAUGAAGGCCCUCGGGUUGUAAACCCCUUUCAGCAGGAACGAAUCUGACGGUACCUGCAGAAGAAGGCCCGGCCAACUACGUGCCAGCAGCCGCGGUAAUACGUAGGGGCCAAGCGUUGUCCGGAUUUAUUGGGCGUAAAGAGCUCGUAGGCGGUUGGGUAAGUCGGGUGUGAAAACUCCAGGCUCAACUUGGAGACGCCACCCGAUACUGCUCUGACUUGAGUUCGGUAGGGGAGUGGGGAAUUCCUGGUGUAGCGGUGAAAUGCGCAGAUAUCAGGAGGAACACCGGUGGCGAAGGCGCCACUCUGGGCCGAAACUGACGCUGAGGAGCGAAAGCGUGGGUAGCAAACAGGAUUAGAUACCCUGGUAGUCCACGCCGUAAACGUUGGGCACUAGGUGUGGGCCCUAACCAACGGGGUCCGUGCCGUAGCUAACGCAUUAAGUGCCCCGCCUGGGGAGUACGGCCGCAAGGUUAA
rnacentral:rRNA from 1 species